ACUAAAGAACUUCCUGAACAUUAGAAAUAGAAGAUUUUACUAAUAGCUCUUUAAGGAAAAAGGUGGCAGUCCAGUAAAGUACUGAUAAUAUCUUCAGAGCAAUCAUUAGAGUGUGAGGUGAUGUGGUUGAAAUGAAGAAAUCCUGACACACACCAGAAGGAGGAUAGCUGGUUUGUUUGGACUGGAGAAGGGAGGCGCUGGGCAAAGUGCGCAUGGAGUGGGGAAGGGGCGCUACCUGUGUAGAUUCGUAGGCUGCCGACCCCGCUGGCGUACACUGGGCUGAAAAUGACAACUAACGCCAACCAUGAAAGAUCCAAGUCACAGCAGUACUAGCCCAAGCAUCAUCAAUGAAGAUGUGAUUUUAUUAAGGGUCAUUCUCAUGAAGAUGACAAUGCAUUUGCAGAGUACAUGUUGAUGGAAAAUGAAGAGGAAUUCAAUAAAUAGAAGAGGAGUUAUGGGAAGAAGAAUUUAUUGAACGCUGCUUCCCAGAAAUGCUGGAGGAAGAAGAACGUGAGUGGCUUAUUCCAGCUCAAGAUCUCCCACAAACUAUGGACCAAAUCCAAGACCAAUUUAAUGACCUUGUUAUCAGUGAUGGCUCUUCUCUGGAAGAUCCUGGGGUCAAGAGCAAUCUGAAUCCAAAUGCAAAGGAGUUUGUUCCUGGGGUGAAGUACUCAAAUAUUUGAGUAGACGGGGCCCUCUUUUGGUGGAUGUAGCACAAUUUCCACACUGUGAAGGCAGUAUUAGGAGUCUUAAUUGUAAAAGCUCUCUUGUCACUGUGUUACACUUAUUGCCAAAGUUUUGUUAGUCUUGCAUGCUUAGUAAAAGUGCUGAGACUGUUACUAAG